AUUGAACGCUGGCGGCAGGCCUAACACAUGCAAGUCGAACGGUAACAGGAAGCAGCUUGCUGCUUCGCUGACGAUUGGCGGACGGGUGAGUAAUUUCUGGGAAGCUGCCUGAUGGAGGGGGAUAACUCCUGGAAACGGUGGCUAAUACCGCUUAAUUUCGCAAGACAAAAGAGGGGGACCUUCGGGCCUCUUGCCAUCGGAUGUGCCCAGAUGGGAUUAGCUUGUUGGUGGGGUAACGGCUCACCAAGGCGACGAUCCCUAGCUGGUCUGAGAGGAUGACCAGCCACACUGGAACUGAGACACGGUCCAGACUCCUACGGGAGGCAGCAGUGGGGAAUAUUGCACAAUGGGCGCAAGCCUGAUGCAGCCAUGCCGCGUGUAUGAAGAAGGCCUUCGGGUUGUAAAGUACUUUCAGCGGGGAGGAAGGGAGUAAAGUUAAUACCUUUGCUCAUUGACGUUACCCGCAGAAGAAGCACCGGCUAACUCCGUG
rnacentral:rRNA from 1 species